GACCCAGAAACCCAACAAAACCACAAUGGAUAUAUAUUUAAUAUGUUUCGUCUUUGUAACAAACACUUUGUAGAAUGUUAUAAAUCCAAACACAGUCACCGGCUAACAAGAAAUGCAGUUCCAACAUUGUAUCUUGUAUGCUGAAAUCGUCUACUAUGGCUCUACGAUCUUGUUGUGUACCUGGCAGUACAAUGAAACUCGGAGACGAUUGGGAAGAACCGAAUUGUACCUUUACUUUUACUAAUGAAUCUUUCCCUGAUUUGGAUAACCUUUUUACGGUUUGUGGUUAAUGACGGGUGCAUACCUCUCUUAUCUAUUGCAGCUGUAUUUAUGAUGUCUUUUCCGGGUCGAACAUCUUUUCUAAAACAAUUUCUUUUUCUUUUCUAAGACAACUUAAAAGGUUUGGGGUUGCCUGGUAAUGUAAAGUUUGGUUCUCGUUCUGGUAAAGCCUCGAUCCUGUCUCUAGUUUCCAGGUCUUGGUUUGAAUGUAGUCUUUUCUAUUUGUUUAGGUUGUUUCAGGCUACUUUGUACGUGCAGUUAUGUUUGGUCACGUAUAGUCUAAUAAUUCUUUCUCUUUUGUAAACUGGGCAUGUACUCUUAAUAAAGGACAUGUGUUCACCCUUACAAUUUACACAUCUAUAUUUAUUUGUAGUGCAGUAUUCUUGACUUUUGCCGUAUUUUGGGCAAAUAUUAACUUUAAAGAGCAAAAUCGUUUAAUAUGUCCAUAUCUCUAGCAUUUAGAGUACUGGGUUACGAGGAACGUAAAAGGUUCUAUAUUCAUACGACACCCAUAUGCUUUCACAUGUUAGAUCCCCUGAAACAGAUACGGAUUUAUUUACUUUCGACCCAUUUACCUUCUUGGUCCCUCUUAUGUAAUCCCUUUGUAGAUAAAAUUUCUGUCUCGCUUUCAAAGAUAUUUAACAGUUCUUCCUCUUCUGUAUCCAUACAAUACCACGUAUCACACCGUAAGUAUAUUUGACUUCCCCUGUAAUUCUGCAUAUCCACUGGUUCUGUAUUAUAAUAUCUCACUCUUCAUGAAUGCUGUAGCCCCCUCACUUGUUUGAAAUCUAAUCCAUAGCUUAAGUAUACUCUUAGAGCUGACUUUCAAAAUAUCUGGGAUAUUUUCGUUUUUCAAUAACAUGCUAUACCUCGCGGUUUAGGUAAAACUUCCUUUGAAGUCACGGAUACCUCGUAAAAAUUCAGUUUUUACAUCAUUCGAUGUAUACAUUUCCUCUCCUUUAGAUGCAGGGCGUGAAGUACCUAAAUUUUUCCUUUUCCUCUUGUUGACCAUUGUAAAGCCUUCAGAGUCAUCCGUGUCUCGAGCCUUUUCUCUUUGCCUCGUAGAAGCCAUCGCGAUUGUAUUGUCAUUCGUAACCUCCAAAUAGACCACUUCCUCAUUCUUCCUGAGCAUGGGUAGCUCCCUAAUAUAGUUCUCCUUAUAUUCGCCGGUGUAAGAUUCUCCAGAUAAUCACAAUCAGGUACAUCUUCCUCCUCUGCAUCACUCAUUAUUCAACUUUCCCAACGUUGAGGGAUUACCGCUACAUCGGUUUCCCAAUUUAAACAGUCCGGUCAAAAAUGUAAUACCUAAUUAAUGUAAUUCACAUUAAUUAUUACAUUGUGGGGAAGGUGGGAAUAUAUGGGCGUAGCUCACGCCCAUAUAUUCCCCGUUAUAGGACGGUCUGAUGGAUUGAAUGUGGAGACAAAGAUGUUAAUAGCACUAUCGUUCUUCGCCACUGGGUGGUACCAGAUGCCAAUUGGCGACAUUUCAUACCACUCCGUUUCCCAAGCCAGUGUUAGUAAAGCACCGGUAGUAGCUGCGCUCAAUAAGCCAGCUAUAUUAAAUAAAUAUGUGCCCUUUCCUUUUAGGCGCGCUGAAAAGGGAUAACAUUAAAAGAUGAUUCUACAGAGUAACGGGAAUGCCAGUGAUUCUGGGUUAUGUUGAUGGCACACAUGCAGCAAUUCUAACUCCCGAAGACCAUGAGGAGCGCUACAUAAAUAGAAAGGGAUAUCAUUCCCUUAAUGUGUUUAUAAUUUGUUUCUCAGACUUAAAUAUAAUGAGCGUGGACUCCAGGAUCCCCAGUUACCCAAGAUCUACACAUGACAGCAAGGUGUGGGAUGGGCACCCUUUAAGACAUUACAUAGAGAACCUACUUGAUGAAGGAGAUGAGGAUCUUUAUAUACUGGGAGAUUCUGGAUAUCCAUUAUGGGCCACCCUUCUCACACCUACAUUAAACGCAGAGCCAGGCAGGCUCCCCAGAGGCCUACUAUACUGGGCUGCAUGUGACUGCACAAUCCACUGUAGAGUGUUGUAUAGGAGAGUUCAAGGCUCGGUUCCAGUAGGUGUCUUUUGGUCGACCGAAAAAUGCAUUAUGGACUAGCAACAGCAGCAAAAAUUGUAAACGCCUGUUGCGUGCGACACAACAUCCCGCAUGGUGCCAAAAUCAAGUACCAUUCACUGACAGCAGGAGAACUCAGGCGCGAGCGUGCGCUCACCCAGCGUGGGUCGUUCCUCCACGCGAUGGAGCAGUAGCCCGCGCAGCACGCGCUCGUCUAAUACGCGCUGGUCGCGAAUGUUGCAAUGCGCUUGUGCCAUUGACUUACAAUUAUAUGGACGUCGGGUCCGCGCUAAAAAGUGUCCGCUAAAAUCGUAUACAGAGCGCGAAACUCCGCUUUAGUCUU